AAAGUUUGAUCCUGGCUCAGGAUGAACGCUAGCGGCAGGCCUAACACAUGCAAGUCGAGGGGCAGCACGGUGUAGCAAUACACUGGUGGCGACCGGCGCACGGGUGCGUAACGCGUAUGCAACCUACCCAUAACAGGGGGAUAACACUGAGAAAUUGGUACUAAUACCCCAUAACAUCAGGACCGGCGUCGGUUCUGGUUGAAAACUCCGGUGGUUAUGGAUGGGCAUGCGUUGUAUUAGCUGGUUGGUGAGGUAACGG
rnacentral:rRNA from 1 species